rnacentral:rRNA from 1 species
GAUGAACGCUAGCUACAGGCUUAACACAUGCAAGUCGAGGGGCAGCGGGAUUGAAGCUUGCUUCAAUUGCCGGCGACCGGCGCACGGGUGAGUAACGCGUAUCCAACCUUCCGUACACUCAGGGAUGGCCUUUCGAAAGAAAGAUUAAUACCUGAUGGUAUGAUGAGAUUGCAUGAUAUCAUCAUUAAAGAUUUAUCGGUGUACGAUGGGGAUGCGUUCCAUUAGGUAGUAGGCGGGGUAACGGCCCACCUAGCCAACGAUGGAUAGGGGUUCUGAGAGGAAGGUCCCCCACAUUGGAACUGAGACACGGUCCAAACUCCUACGGGAGGCAGCAGUGAGGAAUAUUGGUCAAUGGACGAGAGUCUGAACCAGCCAAGUAGCGUGAAGGAUGAAGGUCCUACGGAUUGUAAACUUCUUUUAUAAGGGAAUAAACCCUCCCACGGGUGGGAGCUUGUAUGUACCUUAUGAAUAAGCAUCGGCUAACUCCGUG